GUGCGGCGGCUGACACAUGCAGUCGACGGUGAAGCCAAGCUUGCUUGGUGGAUCAGUGGCGAACGGGUGAGAAACACGGGGGCAACCUGCCCUGAACUCUGGGAUAAGCGCUGGAAACGGUGUCUAAUACUGGAUAUGAGCUGCGGAGGCAUCUUCGUGGUUGGAAAGAUUUUUCGGUUUGGGAUGGGCUCGCGGCCUAUCAGCUUGUUGGUGAGGUAAUGGCUCACCAAGGCGUCGACGGGUAGCCGGCCUGAGAGGGUGACCGGCCACACUGGGACUGAGACACGGCCCAGACUCCUACGGGAGGCAGCAGUGGGGAAUAUUGCACAAUGGGCGGAAGCCUGAUGCAGCAACGCCGCGUGAGGGAUGACGGCCUUCGGGUUGUAAACCUCUUUUAGCAGGGAAGAAGCGUGAGUGACGGUACCUGCAGAAAAAGCGCCGGCUAACUACGUGCCAGCAGCCGCGGUAAUACGUAGGGCGCAAGCGUUAUCCGGAAUUAUUGGGCGUAAAGAGCUCGUAGGCGGUUUGUCGCGUCUGCUGUGAAAACCCGAGGCUCAACCUCGGGCCUGCAGUGGGUACGGGCAGACUAGAGUGCGGUAGGGGAGAUUGGAAUUCCUGGUGUAGCGGUGGAAUGCGCAGAUAUCAGGAGGAACACCGAUGGCGAAGGCAGAUCUCUGGGCCGUAACUGACGCUGAGGAGCGAAAGGGUGGGGAGCAAACAGGCUUAGAUACCCUGGUAGUCCACCCCGUAAACGUUGGGAACUAGUUGUGGGGGUCCAUUCCACGGAUUCCGUGACGCAGCUCACGCAUUAAGUUCCCCGCCUGGGGAGUACGGCCGCAAGGCUAAAACUCAAAGGAAUUGACGGGGACCCGCACAAGCGGCGGAGCAUGCGGAUUAAUUCGAUGCAACGCGAAGAACCUUACCAAAGGCUUGACAUACACGAGAACGCUGCAGAAAUGUAGAAACUCUUUGGGACACUUCGUUGAAACAGGUUGGUGCAUGGAUUGUCCGUCCAGCUCGUGUCGUUGAGAUGGUUGGGGAUUAAGUCCCGGCACCGAGCGCCAUCCCUCGGAUUCUUAAUGAUUGGGCCCAG
rnacentral:rRNA from 1 species